rnacentral:rRNA from 1 species
AAAUUGAAGAGUUUGAUCAUGGCUCAGAUUGAACGCUGGCGGCAGGCCUAACACAUGCAAGUCGAACGGUAACAGGAAACAGCUUGCUGAUUUGCUGACGAGUGGCGGACGGGUGAGUAAUGUCUGGGAAACUGCCUGAUGGAGGGGGAUAACUACUGGAAACGGUAGCUAAUACCGCAUAACGUCGCAAGACCAAAGAGGGGGAC